AUUGAACGCUGGCGGCAGGCCUAACACAUGCAAGUCGAGCGGAUGAAGGGAGCUUGCUCCUGGAUUCAGCGGCGGACGGGUGAGUAAUGCCUAGGAAUCUUCCUGGUAGUGGGGGAUAACGUCCGGAAACGGGCGCUAAUACCGCAUACGUCCUGAGGGAGAAAGUGGGGGAUCUUCGGACCUCACGCUAUCAUAUGAGCCUAGGUCGGAUUAGCUAGUUGGUGGGGUAAAGGCCUACCAAGGCGACGAUCCGUAACUGGUCUGAGAGGCUGAUCAGUCACACUGGAACGGAGACACGGUCCAGACUACUACGGGAGGCAGCAGUGGGGAAUAUUGGACAAUGGGCGAAAGCAUGAUCCAGUCAUGCCGAGUGUGUGAAGAAGGUCUUCGGAUUGUAAAGCACUUUAAGUUGGGAGGAAGCGCAGUAAGUUAAGACCUUGCUGUUUUGACGUUACCAACAGAAUAAGCACCGGCUAACUUCGUG
rnacentral:rRNA from 1 species